AGAAUGCCAGGGGUUCUUACUCCCAAUGGACUGUAAUCUGCUUUCACAUGCUUAACAGCACUGUAAGUAGCUUUGUAGAGAAAAUUCCAAUUCAAAUGAUUCCAAAGUGUUUGUGAAUCUCAUAGAGCUGAAUGUCAUUGUUAAUUCAAGGAUGAUUUAUAUAUAUAUUGUAAUUUUUAUGAUUGUGUCCAAGGUCUGUGUUGGAAGAACUGCAAGUGAGUGCACAACGCUUUUUGUCAGUUGAAAAGACGGGAAAAGUGAAAGGGCUCAUCCUCACUCUUAAGGGAAAUUCCAGUGGGAAAGGCUAUGAUUUUUACUCCAGAUAUUUUGCACCUUGGUAUGGAGUUCUGGAAGACCCUGUUACAGGGUCUACCCAUGCUGUUUUGAGCAGCUACUGGUCAGAAAAACUGGGGAAGAAAGAAAUGCUUGUGCUUUGCCAAAGAACAGAAGAGCAAGAGAAGCAACACAAAAUUCCCUCAUCCCCUGCCUGGUUCCCCUUUUGAAGAAACUGUCUCAAGCACCAAAGGCAGUUAUGUUGGAAUCAGCCUCUCUGAUGUGUUCAGCACAAAAAAAGUCCUGUUGUUCCACAAGAGAGGCUUGGGGUUUUUUUCGAUUUCCACGCAAAGAUGUCCUCAAGCUUCUUCUGUGGUACAAGUCAUACAGACCAGAUUUAA